rnacentral:tRNA from 1 species
GAGGGUAUAGCUCAAUGGUAGAGUGUGUGCUUAGCAUGCAAGAGGUCCUGGGUUCAAUCCCCAAUACCUCUA